UUGAAAAACAGCAAUAAGUAUGGUCUAGACCAGGGGGGUUUCAAACCUUUUGUGUGUGUGGCCCACUAUUUGUAAUCAAGAAUGUUUGCAGACCACCUCAUAAUACACACAAUAUGUCUACACACAGUCCUACCUGAAUUAAUAUGCACCUUU